CUAGCGCGGAGCACAACAGCGUGGGCGUUGAUCUGUGCCUUAGGAAAGCAUGCCAAUUGCACACCAUCAGCCCAGCGACAGAUAUUCAACACCGUCUGCAGCAAUAAAAAAGUGACACAAAA